UACGUAGGGUGCGAGCGUUGUCCGGAAUUAUUGGGCGUAAAGAGCUCGUAGGUGGUUUGUCGCGUUGUUCGUGAAAACUCACAGCUCAACUGUGGGCGUGCGGGCGAUACGGGCAGACUGGAGUACUGCAGGGGAGACUGGAAUUCCUGGUGUAGCGGUGGAAUGCGCAGAUAUCAGGAGGAACACCGGUGGCGAAGGCGGGUCUCUGGGCAGUAACUGACGCUGAGGAGCGAAAGCGUGGGGAGCGAACAGG
rnacentral:rRNA from 1 species